UCCAGAAGAUAAGUCGAGGGCCGUGACUCACAGAGAGGCUGGAAGGGGGCCGCCGCGUCAGGUCCCACCGGGAGGGAUUUUUGAGUCAGCAUUGGAGCUGAGGAUAUCCAGGAUAUGUCAUCUGAAGACCACAUGAAAGCAAAGCAUCACUUUUGAACCCAGCGCCGAGACGCACAGGGCAGAGCAGUUCCGGCACGUGUCGUGUCGCAUGGGUAUUGUGCUUUGUGUGUCGUUUGGCUGUCUCUUGUCUUUUCCCUUAGCACUUUGAGAUGCCUAUCAGAAACCCCGGCAUCCUUUUCAGCAUCUCCGAUCUCUGCAUUUCUUGGUCUGGCACCAGUAGGACUUUUGACUCAGGAGCUCAGACUGGCAUCAGAACCGCACCUCUCUUUAGAAGCAUCCAGUCAGAUGUCUUUGACGACGGACAGCUGCGCCCCGCAAGGAUCCAUUAUUGCGGAUUAGGACUCGUAAGAACGUGAGGAUAGCUAGAGGAUUCUGACCGUAGGAUUCUCAGACAUCCAUCUUUGCAGUUCUUAGAAAUCAUUCAGUUAGCAUCUUCUUCCUCCAGGGUUCUCUGAGCCUCUUCAGCUUGCCAUCGGUCUCACCUCAGUAAUUUCAUUUUGCGUUCUCUCAGUCCUUGCCGUCAUUCCUCUUGCCAAGUGACUUCUGUCCCUGUCGCGUCCCCUUUGUUUGUCAUGUCCUGUCCUGUGUCACAGGUGUCUGCACAUAUUUGUGUCGGAGCUGCUCUGCCCCGCCGCAUAGUCCAGCGCCAUAGGACAAAUCCCGGGGCCUUGAAAUUUGUAGUGCGGGGUGUAGUUGGAUUCUAGAUGGUAUUCCUAGAUGUGCAAACAAGAUGUUUGGAGGUGUGAAGUUAUCCUGCAGCCCUUUCACUUUUGUCCUGAAUUUCUUUCAGAUGCAGACCGAUAAAAUCCAUAGCAGAGCACCACAUCCCAGGAAAUAAAGCCUUCUAGCAGCAGUCAAGGCAAGGUGGUCAAGGAGUCACCCGGAGAGACUUUGGCAACGCCGAGGAGUCGCGGCGAGUCGGGAAUAGGGAGGAGGAGCGGGGGUCCACUCCGGUUUCAGCGACGCCGCAUCACCUUCUCUCCUCUCAAGCGAGGCGAACCCCGCGACGACAGCGUCAGCCUCCGAGCGCAGCCAAAUCGUCCAGCCCAAGGAGGCGGGCAUCGU